AGCCGCAAACCACUGUUGAGAUGU
rnacentral:siRNA from 1 species